rnacentral:rRNA from 1 species
AGGGCGCACGGUGGAUGCCUUGGCACUAGAAGCCGAAGAAGGACGUUACUAACGACGAUAUGCUUUGGGGAGCUGUAAGUAAGCGUUGAUCCAGAGAUUUCCGAAUGGGGAAACCCAACAUGAGUUAUGUCAUGUUAUCGAUAUGUGAAUACAUAGCAUAUCAGAAGGCAGACCCGGAGAACUGAAACAUCUUAGUACCCGGAGGAAGAGAAAGAAAAAUCGAUUCCCUGAGUAGCGGCGAGCGAAACGGGAAGAGCCCAAACCAACAAGCUUGCUUGUUGGGGUUGUAGGACACUCUAUACGGAGUUACAAAAGUAUAUAUUAGACGAAUCAUCUGGAAAGUUGAAUCAAAGAAGGUAAUAAUCCUGUAGUCGAAAAUAUAUACUCUCUUGAGUGGAUCCUGAGUACGACGGAGCACGUGAAAUUCCGUCGGAAUCUGGGAGGACCAUCUCCUAAGGCUAAAUACUCUCUAGUGACCGAUAGUGAACCAGUACCGUGAGGGAAAGGUGAAAAGUACCCCGGAAGGGGAGUGAAAGAGAACUUGAAACCGUGUGCUUACAAGUAGUCAGAGCCCGUUAAUGGGUGAUGGCGUGCCUUUUGUAGAAUGAACCGGCGAGUUACGAUUUGAUGCAAGGUUAAGCAGUGAAUGUGGAGCCGUAGCGAAAGCGAGUCUGAAUAGGGCGUUGAGUAUUUGGUCGUAGACCCGAAACCAGGUGAUCUACCCUUGGUCAGGUUGAAGUUCAGGUAACACUGAAUGGAGGACCGAACCGACUUACGUUGAAAAGUGAGCGGAUGAACUGAGGGUAGCGGAGAAAUUCCAAUCGAACCUGGAGAUAGCUGGUUCUCUCCGAAAUAGCUUUAGGGCUAGCCUCAAGUGAUGAUUAUUGGAGGUAGAGCACUGUUUGGACGAGGGGCCCUUCUCGGGUUACCGAAUUCAGACAAACUCCGAAUGCCAAUCAAUUUAACUUGGGAGUCAGAACAUGGGUGAUAAGGUCCGUGUUCGAAAGGGAAACAGCCCAGACCACCAGCUAAGGUCCCAAAAUAUAUGUUAAGUGGAAAAGGAUGUGGCGUUGCCCAGACAACUAGGAUGUUGGCUUAGAAGCAGCCAUCAUUUAAAGAGUGCGUAAUAGCUCACUAGUCGAGUGACACUGCGCCGAAAAUGUACCGGGGCUAAACAUAUUACCGAAGCUGUGGAUUGUCCGUAGGACAAUGGUAGGAGAGCGUUCUAAGGGCGUUGAAGCAUGAUCGCAAGGACAUGUGGAGCGCUUAGAAGUGAGAAUGCCGGUGUGAGUAGCGAAAGACGGGUGAGAAUCCCGUCCACCGAUUGACUAAGGUUUCCAGAGGAAGGCUCGUCCGCUCUGGGUUAGUCGGGUCCUAAGCUGAGGCCGACAGGCGUAGGCGAUGGAUAACAGGUUGAUAUUCCUGUACCACCUAGUAUCGUUUUAAUCGAUGGGGGGACGCAGUAGGAUAGGCGAAGCGUGCUAUUGGAUUGCACGUCCAAGCAGUAAGACUGAGUGUUAGGCAAAUCCGGCACUCGUAAGGUCAAGCUGUGAUGGGGAGAGGAAAUUGUUUCCUCGAGUCGUUGAUUUCACACUGCCAAGAAAAGCCUCUAGAUAGAUAACAGGUGCCCGUACCGCAAACCGACACAGGUAGUCAAGAUGAGAAUUCUAAGGUGAGCGAGCGAACUCUCGUUAAGGAACUCGGCAAAAUGACCCCGUAACUUCGGGAGAAGGGGUGCUCUUUAGGGUUAACGCCCAGAAGAGCCGCAGUGAAUAGGCCCAAGCGACUGUUUAUCAAAAACACAGGUCUCUGCUAAACCGUAAGGUGAUGUAUAGGGGCUGACGCCUGCCCGGUGCUGGAAGGUUAAGAGGAGUAGUUAGCUUCUGCGAAGCUACGAAUCGAAGCCCCAGUAAACGGCGGCCGUAACUAUAACGGUCCUAAGGUAGCGAAAUUCCUUGUCGGGUAAGUUCCGACCCGCACGAAAGGCGUAACGAUUUGGGCACUGUCUCAACGAGAGACUCGGUGAAAUCAUAGUACCUGUGAAGAUGCAGGUUACCCGCGACAGGACGGAAAGACCCCGUGGAGCUUUACUGUAGCCUGAUAUUGAAAUUCGGCACAGCUUGUACAGGAUAGGUAGGAGCCUUUGAAACGUGAGCGCUAGCUUACGUGGAGGCAUUGGUGGGAUACUACCCUAGCUGUGUUGGCUUUCUAACCCGCACCACUUAUCGUGGUGGGAGACAGUGUCAGGUGGGCAGUUUGACUGGGGCGGUCGCCUCCUAAAAGGUAACGGAGGCGCUCAAAGGUUCCCUCAGAAUGGUUGGAAAUCAUUCAUAGAGUGUAAAGGCAUAAGGGAGCUUGACUGCGAGACUUACAAGUCGAGCAGGGUCGAAAGACGGACUUAGUGAUCCGGUGGUUCCGCAUGGAAGGGCCAUCGCUCAACGGAUAAAAGCUACCCCGGGGAUAACAGGCUUAUCUCCCCCAAGAGUUCACAUCGACGGGGAGGUUUGGCACCUCGAUGUCGGCUCAUCGCAUCCUGGGGCUGUAGUCGGUCCCAAGGGUUGGGCUGUUCGCCCAUUAAAGCGGUACGCGAGCUGGGUUCAGAACGUCGUGAGACAGUUCGGUCCCUAUCCGUCGUGGGCGUAGGAAAUUUGAGAGGAGCUGUCCUUAGUACGAGAGGACCGGGAUGGACAUACCUCUGGUGUACCAGUUGUCGUGCCAACGGCAUAGCUGGGUAGCUAUGUAUGGACGGGAUAAGUGCUGAAAGCAUCUAAGCAUGAAGCCCCCCUCAAGAUGAGAUUUCCCAACUUCGGUUAU